AGUGAACGCUGGCGGUAGGCCUAACACAUGCAAGUCGAAUGUCAGCACAGUAAGAGCUUGCUCUUCCGGGUGGCGAGUGGCGGACGGGUGAGGAAUACAUUGGACUCUAGUUUUUCGUGGGGUAUAACGUAGGGAAACUUACCCUAAUACCGCAUACGUCCUACGGCUGAAAGCAGGGAAUCUUCGCCCCUUGCGCGAUUGAAUGAGCCGAUGUCGGAUUAGCUUGUUUGCGGGGUAAAGGCCCACCAAGGCGACGAUCCGUAGCCGGUCGUAGAGGAUGAGCAGCCACACUGGAACGGAGACACGCUCCAGACUCCUACGGGAGGCAGCAGUGGGGAAUAGUGAACAAUGGGCGCAAGCCUUAUCCAGCCAUACCGCGAGGAUGAAGAAGGCCUUCGGGUUGUAAAACCCAUUUGGUGGGAAAGAAAAGCAGCAGGUUAAGACCCCGCGGUUCUGACGGUACCCAAAGAAGAAGCAACGGCUAACUUCGUG
rnacentral:rRNA from 1 species